CCGCCGCGGUAUACGUAGGUGGCGAGCGUUGUCCGGAAUUACUGGGUGUAAAGGGCGUGUAGGCGGGAUUGUAAGUCAGAUGUGAAAUUCCAGGGCUUAACUCUGGAGGUGCAUCUGAAACUAUAAUUCUUGAGUGCUGGAGAGGAAAGCGGAAUUCCUAGUGUAGCGGUGAAAUGCGUAGAUAUUAGGAAGAACACCAGUGGCGAAGGCGGCUUUCUGGACAGUAACUGACGCUGAGGCGCGAAAGCGUGGGAGCAAACAGGAUUAGAUACCCUGGUAGUCCACGCUGUAAACGAUGGAUACUAGGUGUAGGAGGUAUCGACCCCUUCUGUGCCGGAGUUAACACAAUAAGUAUCCCACCUGGGGAGUACGGCCGCAAGGCUGAAACUCAAAGGAAUUGACGGGGGCCCGCACAAGCAGUGGAGUAUGUGGUUUAAUUCGAAGCAACGCGAAGAACCUUACCAGGGCUUGACAUCCCUCGAAUAACAUAGAGAUAUGUUAGUCCUUCGGGACGAGGAGACAGGUGGUGCAUGGUCGUCGUCAGCUCGUGUCGUGAGAUGUUGGGUUAAGUCCCGCAACGAGCGCAACCCCUAUUGUUAGUUGCCAUCAUUAAGUUGGGCACUCUAACGAGACUGCCGGUGACAAAUCGGAGGAAGGUGGGGACGACGUCAAAUCAUCAUGCCCCUUAUGUCCUGGGCUACAUACGUACUACAAUGGUCACUACAAAGGGAAGCAAUCCCGCAAGGAGGAGCAAAUCCCCAAAAGUGAUCUCAGUUCGGAUUGUGGGCUGAAGCCCGCCCACAUGAAGUCGGAAUUGCUAGUAAUGGCAGUUCAG
rnacentral:rRNA from 1 species